rnacentral:tmRNA from 1 species
GGGGCUGACCGGUUUUGACAGCAGGCAGAGUCGGAAAGUAAGCAUGCCGAGCAUUGUGUGGUGGCUCGUUAAUCUCAACGCUCAAACGUAUAAAUGGCAAUAAUAGCUAUGCACUCGCUGCGUAAUCUUACUGAGUAACAUUACCUUAAUCCCUGUGCCCAAGGAGGUGCGGGGACGAGUACCCCGCCGGCAGGACCCGCUUCUUGUUCUGCUGGCAUCGGGGUAUCGACAAUGAGAAGCUGGCUGCGGCGCAUGUCCGGGCGUUCGCGGCGAGAUUUUACGGACUGGGCUUCGUAUUGGGCUGCCGUAUGCCGGGUACGGAGAGAAGGAUGAAAUGACGGAUAAGCAGGAAGAAAGCCUUGGGGUCCCCUGUUUGGACGGGGGUCCGCCCCCCCCCAGC